rnacentral:lncRNA from 1 species
AAACAAGACAUUAUGUAAGGUAAGGUGUGGGGCAAGAGAAUCUGUGCCAGAAAAAUGAGUAAAUGAAGAGUUCUAGUUGGAUAGAGAAAUUGCAAUUGGUGGGAUUCUAUAAUAAGAAAUAAAAUGAGACAAAGAGUUGGAUAUAUGAUCAGUAGCACCUGUGUCUAUAAUCUAUUGGGAAGAAAUAUUACCUUGAUCUUGAGAAGAAGUGGAAACAUUAUGAGAACUCACUAGAUCGGUAGAAUGUGUGACUGGAGGAUUAGAUUGAGGAAGAAGUGCCAAUAGACCAUGAAUUUGCUCUUGAGAAAGUCUCAAAGUUGAGGAAUAUGAUUGCGCCUGAGAACUAUUAGAAGAAACAACUGCAAAAGCCAUUGAAUUUCACAAUCUGAAAUUGAACAAAACUUUCAAACCCGAAUCUCCAAAAACUUCUCUAGAUUCCUUAAAAAUCAAUCCAGGGCUACGAGCGAUUAAAGCACCCAAUUGUUUUUUAUUGAGCCAAGAAUGAGAGGUAGAAGAUGAAGAUCUUGAUAGUAAGAUAAUUGGUUGUGGAAAAACGUGAUCAAGAAUUAAUUUUCUUUGAUACCAUGUUACUUCUUCUGAUACCAUAUUAGUAAGUAGUUUUAAGCCUAACUCAAAUUCACAAAACCGGCUUAUAAGGUGAGGUUUGCACAUCACUUAUAUAUUAUAAAUUG